GGACAGGUGGCCUACGGCCAGUCACAGUGCAAGUCCAAAGAAACAAAGGAGAGAAAAUGUUAUUUCAUAAAGUUGGGAGGGGCUGUUGUAAAGGAAGAGUCCAUUGGAGCAGACUGGGAGUUCGAAGUGUGGUGGCUCUUCAUUGGCUGAGUUAUGGCCGUCUGUCAUUGGCUGAGCUGUUGCUGGGCAAGGAGGAGUUUCUUCCUUCCUCCUGCUGGGGUAGUAAGUAGGUAGCAUCAUUUCCUAUUGGAGAUGCAAGAUAGCCUCUUCCUGGUGUGAUACAGGUUUCUGAGAAAGACAAAGAAAAAGACUGUCUUCUUUCUUCCUCUUUUUUUUUUUUUUUUUAAUUAAACUUACCUGGAAAUGCACAAACUGUGCUUCAGUGCCCCCUGCGGCCCCGGAUCCUCAGAGCAGAUUGUGUGCCUGUCUCUCUUAAUUGCUUAUGUUACUAUAUGAGUUCCCAAGCUGUUCUCCUAGCCGUGCAAAUACACAUUUUGUGACGUUCUAAGUAUCGUGUGCUAUUGUUCUUGGCAAAAUACUUUGUUCUGUUGCUCUCCUGCCCAGAGGCAAGAGGAGAAAGAACAGAAGGACCUCUAGAAGUCAACCUGUCAAUUCACUUACUCCAUAUAAUUAUGGAAGAUGCUGGAAACAGGAAAAACAUGUAAUCAAGUGCUUUAGGAUGGACCACAAGCAGAGAGAAGUUUUGUUUCACACAGUAGUGUCUUUGCAGAUGUCAUCCAGUUAAGAUGCGGUCAUCAGGUGGGCCCUAAUCCAAUAUGACUAGUGUCCUUAUAAGAGGAGGAGAGACACAAACACAGACACACCCAGAGGGAAGACCAAGUGACCACCAAGAUUGGGGUUAUGUAUUUACAAGCCAAGGACUGCCAACAACAGCAGAAGCCAAGAGAAAGGCAUGGAACAGAUUGUCUCCUGGAGCCUUCAGAGAGAUCAUGGCCCUGCUGACACUUUGAUUUGGGACUUGUAAUCUCCAGACCUGUGAGAGACUACAUUUCUUUUGUUUUCAGUCCCUCAGUUUAUGGUACUUCGUUAUAGCAGCCCAAGCAAAGUAAGACAGCAAUUAUCUCGCUGGCCCAUUUGGAGUAGCCUACUCACUGUGAUGGGGACCAUGACUUAUUUCUCUGUGUUUCAUAAAUGAACUGCCACAAGUCCAUAGGUCGGGUGAAAGACCAACGUAACCUUGAAAUGAGUGAUCUGGAGUGAAGGUCACAUCCAUUUCUGUUCCUGAGAGCAGGUACCAGUUAACUACUAGGAUGGAAGCAAAUCUCUUGUUGGUUUUUUCCUCUCACCACUCUUUCCACUUCUUGUGAAUGGUUUAAAAAAAAAGAGAAGCAAUUGACUGUUUUUUUAAAAGUUAUUUUAUGAUGUUAAAUUUUUAUUGUGAAAGGAAAAAUGUUAAAGGGAAAGCUGCUUAUCUCAACCUGAAAGACAUACAGUGAGAGAAAAACUCAGACAGCAACUUAACGACUUACUGGUCUAGUGGUCCACAAUCCUGGCUGCACUUCAUAAUUACCUGGCGCCCUUUAAAAAUACCAUCAUUUAGGGGCUGGCCCCGUGGCCAAGUGGUUAAGUUCGCACGCUCCGCUGCAGGCGGCCCAGUGUUUCGUUGGUUCGAAUCCUGGGCGCGGACAUGGCACUGCUCAUGAAACCACGCUGAGGCAGCGUCCCAUAUGCCACAACUAGAAGGAGCCACAACGAAGAAUAUACAACUAUGUACUGGGGGGCUUUGGGGAGAAAAAGGAAAAAAUAAAAUCUUUA
ensembl:lncRNA